AACGUACGCUGGCGGCACUAACACAUGCAAGUCGAACGAAGUAGCAAUACUUAGUGGCAGACGGGUGAGUAACAUGUAGGUAUCUGCCCUUUGGCCUGGAAUAACACGAGGAAACCUGUGCUAAUACCGGAUAAGUCUUUACGGAGAAAGCUUUAUGCACCAUUGGAUGAGCCUGCACUUGAUUAGUUUGUUGGUAGGGUAAUGGCCUACCAAGACUGUGAUCAAUAGCUGAUUUGAGAGGAUGAUCAGCCACAUUGGGACUGAGACACGGCCCAAACUCCUACGGGAGGCAGCAGUGGGGAAUCUUGCACAAUGG
rnacentral:rRNA from 1 species